CUCAUGAUCUGGUCCUGUUGUAUUUUCAGCUCCCAGUGCAGGGCCUGGUCCAAUGCUGGUGUCAAUUAAUGUCCCCUGGAUUGAUUCAUCUAAUUGGAAUGCCCCAGUUAUUUACAGUUUUGAAAAAUGAGGUCAUCUCAUUAAAAUCUCACAACAACCCUGUGAGGGAGGCAGGCCUAUAUCAUCAACCUCAUUGUUCGGAUGAAGAAAUUGAAUUUUAGGUCCAUCCAGUGUCUACAAAUGGACUUCAGAUGAAGCGUCCUGAGAGCAAGCUUUUAAUUAGUUAGGAGUCCAGAGACUUUAAUGAUGGAGGAAGGAGAGCGACAACAACUCUCACCCCAAGGAGAGCAAAACACACAUGUCAACCUGAGCUC